GCAUUGGUGGUUUAGUGGUAGAAUUCUCGCCUCCCACACAAGAGACCUGGGUCCGAUUCCCAGCCAACGCA
rfam:Danio rerio chromosome 4, GRCz11 reference primary assembly.